rnacentral:rRNA from 1 species
UAGGGAAUCUUCGGCAAUGGGGGGAACCCUGACCGAGCAACGCCGCGUGAGUGAAGAAGGUUUUCGGAUCGUAAAGCUCUGUUGUUAAGGAAGAACGAGUGUGAGAAUGGAAAGUUCAUACUGUGACGGUACUUAACCAGAAAGGGACGGCUAACUACGUGCCAGCAGCCGCGGUAAUACGUAGGUCCCGAGCGUUGUCCGGAUUUAUUGGGCGUAAAGCGAGCGCAGGCGGUUAGAUAAGUCUGAAGUUAAAGGCAGUGGCUCAACCAUUGUAGGCUUUGGAAACUGUUUAACUUGAGUGCAGAAGGGGAGAGUGGAAUUCCAUGUGUAGCGGUGAAAUGCGUAGAAAUAUGGAGGAACACCGGUGGCGAAAGCGGCUCUCUGGUCUGUAACUGACGCUGAGGCUCGAAAGCGUGGGGAGCGAACAGG